UACGUAGGGGGCUAGCGUUGUCCGGAUUUAUUGGGCGUAAAGAGCUCGUAGGCGGUGUGUCGCGUCGGCCGUGAAAACCUGGCAGCUUAACUGUGGGCUUGCGGUCGAUACGGGCAUCACUGGAGUUCGGCAGGGGAGACUGGAAUCCUGGUGUAGCGGUGAAAUGCGCAGAUAUCAGGAGGAACACCGGUGGCGAAGGCGGGUCUCUGGGCCGAUACUGACGUGAGGAGCGAAAGCGUGGGGAGCAAA
rnacentral:rRNA from 1 species